CGGCACGGGCCAAUGGGGAGCGGGCAGCGCACUCCGGAGGCGCGGGGGCUGGGCCUGGAAAUUCAAAAUCGGGCCCUCGGGCAACCGUCGGCUCGGCGCGCGGGGUUGGGCGCGGCCGGUACUGGGCUGAGGGCUAGCGGGGAGGGGCGCCUGCGACUACCCGCUUCUCGGCCCCGCGAGGACCCCUGAGGGGCCGGCCCUGCGAGUGGCGGGAAGGAGCUAGAGGUUUCCGGGGCGGGUCAGCGCCGCCGCCCACAGCCGGCGGUUCAGGGAAAUUCAAAUGUAAACGUCCCCAACAGCCACAGGCGAAACUCGGAGAGGCCGGCGGGCGUCGUAAUCUCACCCCGGCCCGCGGCCGCGCUCUGGAGGCGGCCAGGCCCGGAGCGCUUACGUCACGGGCGCCGGCGUCCGGGGCCCCCAGUGCGUGCGAGCCGUUCUCCGCGGAGGAGCAGGCGGUGUGUGGCCCCGAACCCGAGGCCGCGGGAGAGCACCUCAGAAAGCCGUGCCUCGCGCGCGCGCGCGCGCGGCGGAUGGGUGGCCCCGGUGCCGUUGUUUCCUGGGUGUGUGAGGGGGGUUGUGAAAUCAAAAACUGCUGGCGAAUGAAACGACCAGAUUGGGAGUGAGCGGCGCGAGCGCUCGCCACGCUUCUGCGAAGCCAGAGGCAGAAGCCCGUGGACGCGCUGAACGGACCUCUGGCUGUGACGAGGAGCCUCCCCGAGACGGGAGUGGCGGCUAAUUGGAGAGGAAAGUUAACGUGCAGGCUGGCGUUUGCUGGGACGUGCAGGCUGCCCAGAGCGCUCGCCGCCGCCCCGGGGUGUGGGCUCCGGGUUUAACCUCGGAGCUGUCGCGCGCGCACCCCCGGGCCCCGUGCAUCGCCCACAGCCUGGCCGGCGGCAGCUGUGGGCUUGGAUGAUUGCGGCCGAGAGCGGCCCGGAUCGUUCUUGAAAUGUGUCGGUAGAAUUAGCGGAGGGCCCCAGGCUGUCCUUGGAGCCCAGGACACAUCUGGAUGGCGCUUGGGCCCCCCUCCCACUGCUUGCCCGGGUUUAGCAGGAAGUUGGAUAGGAGGUGGAGGAGUUGGGAUUGGACCUGAUGCUCACGUCGGCCGCCGGUGUUGCUCGCCCGUCAGACAAUUUCUGAAAUUCCCUUAUUCUCAGCUUUCCCCUUGCCGAGCCCUGCGCUUGGAGUAUGGUCAUUUUCUGUUUCUCUUACUCUUUCGAAGGUUAUCCUCUUCAUUCAAAUACUUUCUGAAAUCCCAUCAGCUCCAGAAUUUUCACCAGUGAAUUAGAAAGUGACAUUAGUAUAUAAGUUUGAUGAAAGUACUUGGGCAUUUACUAGGAUAACUGUCAUUUUUGCAAUACCCUGCCUUGCUUCUCCUAUAAACUCUGAGCUACUUGUCAGGUCACAUACCCUGAUUAUUGGUUGGAACAUACGUUCCUGUAACCCUGCCAAAGCCUCCACAUACCAUGCCAUUAUUUGUCUCUUCCAUAUUCGUCCUCACACGCAAUUACCUCACCAUAUAAGGACACCUUAUUUACAUUUGCCUUAUUUAUGUCAUUUGGAUCUGUAACAAAAAUACUGGAUAUCCAAGAUGUCUGGACAGAAGAUGUACAGACUAGAACUGGGGGGGAGGGGGAGUUGUGGGGUAAGACACGGAAAGGGGGAGGAGAGACUGAAAGUGAGCAAUAAUCCACAUGGGUCCCAGGAGAGGGGGGUGACAGCUGGCAGCUGAGGAUAUAGCACUAACAAAUGGAAUGGCUGGAGCUGCUAUAAAAUGAAAAGAGAAAUUGCCAAAUGGUAUCUCUUGACUGUAGACACAUAUUUGUUGAAUGAUGAAUGAAAAGAAAUGAAUACUUCAACUUCCACAUAGCUGGGUUGUUUCAUUUAACGUAGUUUGCAAAACUGAUACCGUUUCUAGUUUUCAUAAAAAUGUAAAUCAUAUUUCAUGAAGGUGGAAUAUGCUGAAUCUUUCCCAAGUCUGAUUUUGAUUUUUGUGUUUUACUACUAGUUUUUAAGCACUUAAUAUAUUUGAAAGGCAGAGUUACAGAGAGAGGAAAAGAUACAGAAAACAUACACCGACCCGCUAAUUCACUUCCAAAUGGUCGCAAUAGCCAGUGGCACCAAAACCAGAAACCUCAGCUCCAUCUGUGUCUCCCACUUGGGUGCCAGCCCCAAGCACUUGGGCUAUCCUACACUACUUUCUCAGGCCAUAGCAGGGAGCUGGAUCAGAUUAGAAAUGGAUUUGUGUGUGUGUGUGUGUUUUGUGUGUGUAUUUUUUUUUUCUAGAUUUAUUUGCUUACUUUGAAAUAGCUACAAUCCUCAGAUGGCUGCAACAGUCAGGACUGGGCUGGUCUGGAGCUGGGAGCCAGGAGCUUCUCCAGGUCUCCCACAUGAGUGGCAGGGGCCCAAACACUUGGACCAUAUUCUGCUGCUUUUCCCAGGCCAUUAGCAGUGGGCUGGGUAGGAAUAGGAGUAGCAGGCAUAGGAACCGGUGUCCAUAUUGGAUGCUGGUGUCACAGGCAACGGCUUUACCCUCUUACGCCAUGUUGCGGGCCCCAGAUUUCCCUGUUUUAAAAUGGUUCUGGGAGUUUUUAAAGUACAUUUAUCAUCUUCCAUAGGAUGGUUCUCAUAGUACAGCCACCUGAGGCCUAUACACUGCUCAGAAUUAUUUUCCAGACAUGCUUGUUGAGAUCUGGACAUUAAGCAAAACCAGAUGUGUGGAGUUGUUUUCUUUUAGCUCAGUAGUUCAAUUUUACUAUAUCUUAGCCAAAAAGAAAAAGAAUUGAUAUUGUUGCAUUUUAAUUUAAUUUUAUACCAAAACAUGGUCAAGAUACUGUCAUACUCUAAGUUAUUUUAGAUACCUUUAAUGUAUUUCUAAAACUAAUACGCAUCUAAUUUUUAAUAGAUUUUUUUAAUAUUUAUUUUUUUGAAAGGCAGGGUGACAGAGAAAGAGGAAGAGAGAAAGAGUCUUAGAGAUCUUCCAUCUGCUGCUUCACUCCUCAAAUACCUUCAACAACCAGGGCUGGGCCAGACCAAAGCCAGGACCCAGACUUCCGUUUGGGGUUUCCUAUGCAGCUUUCUAUGGAAAACACCACAGCGAACUCCAGAGAAAUGAAAUAAUCAAGACACAGUCCCCACCACGUGUGAACUGAGAGUGUGCAAGGAAGGACCUGUGCAGAGUGGACAGUGACAGAGAGAGAGACAGAGAGAGAAAGGUCUUCCUUUGCCGUUGGUUCACCCUCCAAUGGCCGCCGCGGCUAGCGCGCUGUGGCUGGUGCACCGCGCUGAUCCGAUGGCAGGAGCCAGGUACUUCUCCUGGUCUCCCAUGGGGUGCAGGGCCCAAGCACUUGGGCCAUCCUCCACUGUACUCCCUGGCCACAGCAGAGAGCUGGCCUGGAAGAGGGGCCACCGGGACAGAAUCCAGCGCCCCGACCGGGACUAGAACCCGGUGUGCCGGCGCCGCUAGGGGGAGGAUUAGCCUAGUGAGCCAUGGCGCCGGCCAAGCCUAAAUCUUAUACGUCCCUCCACCACUUCCACAUAUUGAAGAGAAAAAAAAAAGUAUGCUUUCUGCUUGACCACAGGGUCAACCACGGCUGCCUGCUUUGCAGAAAAUGGGUGACGGGAAGGGUGCAGCCCUGUGCUUGCCACCAGCGCCUGGUGAGGUCAGAAACGCUGAUGAGCGCCCUCACCACCACCCCGCCCUGGUCUCCGCCCUCGGGCUGGCCACCAGUUCCGGCCCACACUGCUCCCUCCUGCAGCCUCCGCCAGCUGGAGGAGGCCAGAGGUGUUCACUUCCCUCCAAGAGCCUGCUGGUAGAUUUCUAGAAUUUGGAAAUAAAGUAUGCAAAUUGCCACCCCCUUCCCCAGCAGUGCCUUCUCUUUCACUGUGGCCUGCUACCUUACCUCCAACAGCUUUUCUUAAGGAAAACUAGUAGAUCUGGAAUCUAAUCACUUUUAUCUGACUAACUGCUGUCUAAUGGCAAACAAGCAUCUAAUUCGCACACCGGUUCUUUCUCGUUGAUUUCCUUUAGGUUUGAGGGGAUAGAAAUAGGAAACAAAAUCAUUCAAUAAAUAUAGUGGAGUUCAUCACAAAGUCACUGGAAACGAUGAGACGGUAUGUUUAACAGGCAGCAGCUGCGAUAGCUCGAAGGACAGUUGUGGGGAGCAACUCGGACUAGACUGUUACUGGAAUUAAGACUUAUUCUAUGCAUCUGCUUUCCCACAAUAUGGCGCUGAGAAGGGAGUAACAACUUCUACGCAGCUGCCUCUCGCCAACUUGAGUGAUGACCUGCAGGAGCUGAUCCUGCUCCUGAUUGCAGGAGAGCAGCGUACUCGGCGUGUGGGUAGCAGAGUUGGGAUUGGUGGAAGAGGACUAUAAAGGAGGAGAGAGACAACAUGCACCAGGAACAUCUAUCUGAAGGAACACCUGUGCAGCCCCCUAGAGAGCCGGCCGGCGGUGUGCCGCUCCCCCGCGGAAGUGGGGAAAGUGGCAAGGGGAACCGCCCUUCCACGGAGGUGGAAGGGUCAGUAGCCAACCCGGGAAGAACCAGCAGCAAACCCGGGGAGGGCCGAGCAGACGAAAGAACAACGCAGGGUCCUGUGUCGUUCCUCCACGAAGACGGGGAGCGACAGACAGUACUUACUAAAGAGAGGGAAGAGAAAUAGGACCAUAAAAGCAGACAAAAUUCCGAGAUGUCACAGACUAAAACAGAGUGAACCUUCUUUUCAAAAGCAGAAUACAGACAAGCUACUAACAGACAAGAAAUAGGGUUCUUUUUGCCUUAGAAAUCACAUGAUCUGGAUGAUGCCAAAAAUCUCUGUUAACAUAGGAUUUGAUUAAGGAAAAUGGUAUGUUAUUUUCUGUGCUUUUAUUUUUAACUUUUUUUUAUUGUAUUUUAGACAUGCAUACAAACAGAGAUCUCCCAUCCCCCUGUCAUCUGUUCAAGUACCUGUGAGAGCCAGGACUGGGCUAGGCCAAAGCUAGAAGCCAGGAAUUCAGUCCUCC